rnacentral:rRNA from 1 species
AACGCUGGCGGCAGGCCUAACACAUGCAAGUCGAGCGCUACCUUCGGGUGGAGCGGCGGACGGGUUAGUAACGCGUGGGAACGUACCCAGAUCUAAGGAAUAGCCACUGGAAACGGUGAGUAAUACCUUAUACGCUUCGGGGGAAAGAUUUAUCGGAUUUGGAUCGGCCCGCGUUAGAUUAGAUAGUUGGUGGGGUAAUGGCCUACCAAGUCUACGAUCUAUAGCUGGUUUUAGAGGAUGAUCAGCAACACUGGGACUGAGACACGGCCCAGACUCUACGGGAGGCAGCAGUGGGGAAUCUUGGACAAUGGGCGCAAGCCUGAUCCAGCCAUGCCGCGUGAGUGAUGAAGGCCUUAGGGUCGUAAAGCUCUUUCGCCAGAGAUGAUAAUGACAGUAUCUGGUAAAGAAACCCCGGCUAACUCCGUGCCAGCAGCCGCGGUAAUACGGAGGGGGUUAGCGUUGUUCGGAAUUACUGGGCGUAAAGCGUACGUAGGCGGAUUAGUCAGUCAGAGGUGAAAUCCCAGGGCUCAACCCUGGAACUGCCUUUGAUACUGCUAGUCUUGAGUUCGAGAGAGGUGAGUGGAAUUCCAAGUGUAGAGGUGAAAUUCGUAGAUAUUUGGAGGAACACCAGUGGCGAAGGCGGCUCACUGGCUCGAUACUGACGCUGAGGUACGAAAGUGUGGGGAGCAAACAGGAUUAGAUACCCUGGUAGUCCACACCGUAAACGAUGAAUGCCAGUCGUCGGGCAGUAUACUGUUCGGUGACACAC